UAGCUCGUGUCGUGAGAUGUUGGGUUAAGUCCCGCAACGAGCGCAACCCUUGUCUUUAGUUGCCAUCAUUAAGUUGGGCACUCUAAAGAGACUGCCGAUGACAAAUCGGAGGAAGGUGGGGAUGACGUCAAAUCAUCAUGCCCUUUAUGUCCUGGGCUACACACGUGCUACAAUGGUCGGUACAACGAGAAGCAAGCCAGCGAUGGCAAGCAAAUCUCUAAAAGCCGAUCCCAGUUCGGAUUGCAGGCUGCAACUCGCCUGCAUGAAGUCGGAGUUGCUAGUAAUCGCGGAUCAGAAUGCCGCGGUGAAUGCGUUCCCGGGUCUU
rnacentral:rRNA from 2 species